rnacentral:rRNA from 1 species
UACGGGGGGGGCAAGCGUUGUUCGGAAUUACUGGGCGUAAAGGGCUCGUAGGCGGCCAACUAAGUCAGACGUGAAAUCCCCAGGCUCAACCUGGGAACUGCGUCUGAUACUGGAUGGCUUGAAUCCGGGAGAGGGAUGCAGAAUUCCAGGUGUAGCGGUGAAAUGCGUAGAUAUCUGGAGGAACACCGGUGGCGAAGGCGGCAUCCUGGACCGAUAUUGACGCUGAGGAGCGAAAGCCAGGGGAGCAAACGGG